rnacentral:rRNA from 1 species
GAUGAACGCUAGCGGCAGGCCUAACACAUGCAAGUCGAGGGGUAACAGGGUAGCAAUAUCGCUGACGACCGGCGCACGGGUGAGUAACGCGUAUGCAACCUUCCUUUAACUGGGGGAUAGCCCGGAGAAAUUCGGAUUAAUACCCCAUAACAUUGCGGAGAGGCAUCUUUCUGCAAUUAAAGCUCCGGCGGUUAAAGAUGGGCAUGCGUGCCAUUAGCUAGUUGGUGAGGUAACUGCUCACCAAGGCUACGAUGGCUAGGGGGUCUGAGAGGAUGAUCCCCCA